UCAGUCUCUUCUCCAUUCCUCCGAACCGCCGAUACCAAUUCUCCUCUGUAGCAGUCUUAUGCAUUAAGCUUCGAAUUCCAAACUCCCUCUCGUCUUCUCCCCAUUUCUAAUGGGGAGGAGGACACGAAGGAAGUUAUAAGCCCCGAAACCAAACCUCAAUGCUCUGCUUCUCCUCCUCCUCCUCCUCGGUCACGGCCUCAAGGACCGUAGCUCCGGCCAUCUCCGCCGCCGCGGCCAAGCUCCUCCACCUCCUCCUCUCCUCCAAACCCUACUCCCAACUCGAUCCCCAAACCCCCAACCCCCGUCCCUCGAAACCCUCCUCUCCGACAUCCUCGACUCCAACCCUCUCGCCUUCACCCGCGACUUCGUUGCCCCGGACUCCCUCAAACCCCUCAUCGCCGACCGCGACCUCUUCCUCUCCGCGCUCGACUCCGUCCGCCGCCGCCCCCGCCUCGCCCUCCGCUUCUUCCGCUGGGCCGAGCGUCAGCCAGGAUUCGACCACUCCGAUAUCGCCUUCCUCGCCGUUCUCGAGAUCCUCGCCGAUGGCGGCCUCAUGCGCGCCGCGUAUUCCGUCGCCCACCGUGCUUUCCGCCUCCGCCUCCUCCACCGCGUCGUCGACCUCCUUAUUGAUGGCUACGCUGGCUCCGACGCCGUCACCGCCAAGCUCCUCGACCUCCUCCUCUGGAUGUACACCAAGUGUUCGAUGGUGGAGGGCGCCCUCUCCACCUUCUACAAGAUGGUCGCCCACGGAUUCCUCCCCGACGUCAAGAACUGCAAUAGAGUGCUGAGGAUUCUCAGAGACAAGGACCAGUGGAUGGAUGUGAGAGCAGUCUAUAGAGAGAUGCUUAAGGUCGGCAUCCGGCCGACGAUUGUAACUUACAAUACGAUGCUGGAUUCUUACUGUAAGGAAGGGAAGGCCGAAGAGGCCCUCAAGCUCUUGGGAGAGAUGGAGAUGAAGGGCACUGGGUUCUUGCCUAAUGACGUCACCUAUAAUGUCGUCAUCAAUGGGUUAUCAAAGAAGGGGGAACUGGAUAAGGCAGAGAAGCUGCUCGACAAAAUGAGGAGUUCGGGAAAGGCUUCAGCGUUUACUUACAAUCCUCUGAUUAAUGCUUUGCUUCGCAGAGGUUGCAUAGAUGAAGCUUUGGGUGUUAAGGAUGAGAUGGCAGGGAGAGGUGUGACACCGACGGUGGCGACUUACAAUACUUUAAUCUAUGGACUGUGUAGAAGUGGGCGGAUGGAUGAGGCUCGAGAGAAGUUCUUUGAGAUGGAGAAGAUCAAUUUGGUGCAGGACGUGGUUUCUUACAACUCAUUGAUUUAUGGGUAUUGUCGAGUGGGGAAUGUAAAGGAGGCUCUUCACUUGUUUGAACAUUUGAGAGAUGCCCGCAUCCUUCCGACUGCCAGGACAUAUAAUAUUCUUAUAGAUGGUCAUUGUCGAUCAGGAGCCUUGGAGGAGGCUCAGAAGUUUAAAGAGGAUAUGAUUGAAUGUGGGCUUCGGCCUGAUGUUUAUACCUAUACUAUUCUUGUAAACGGGUCUUGCAAGAUGGGAAAUCUUGCCAUGGCAAAAGGGUUUUUUAAUGAGAUGUUGAGUAAUGGCUUGAAGGCAGAUUGUUAUGCCUACACGGCAAGGAUAGUUGGAGAAUUGAGACUUGGUGCUACGUCUCAAGCUUUCCAAUUGCGAGAGGAGAUGAUAACAAGAGGUAUCUCACCUGAUACUGUCACUUACAAUGUUCUAAUUGAUGGUCUUUGCAAGACAGGAAAUCUGAGAGAAGCAUAUCGAUUGUGGCGGAAGAUGGUCAAUGAUGGUUUUCAUCCUGAUUGCGUGACCUAUACUUGCUUAAUUCAUGCUCAUUGUGAGAAAGGUCGUUUUAGAGAAGCAAAGGAUUUAUUUGAUAGCAUGAUUAGUAGUAGUUUAUCUCCAUCGGUUGUGACCUAUACUGUUUUGAUUCAUGCCCAUGCCAAUAGAGGAAGUCUUGAGGCAGCAUAUACUUUUUUUUCGAAGAUGCUGGAGGAGGAUGUAUCACCUAAUGAGAUAACAUUCAACGCUCUUAUUAAUGGGCUAUGCAGAAGGCACAAGAUCGAAUUGGCAUACGAGCACUUCCAUGAGAUGCAGGAAAAAGGAUUGUCUCCCAAUAAGUAUACGUACACUUUACUCAUAAACGAGAAUUGCAAUUUAGGUAACUGGAAUGAAGCACUGAGGUUGUAUGGUGAGAUGCACGAGAAAGGCAUUCAUCCUGAUUCUUGUACCCAUGGUGUUUUGUUUAAGGGAUUUGGUGAAGACUACAAGCAUCAUACAGUUUGUUACUUAGAGAACGAAGUUCUGGGCGGUUAGUUUGAAUAACUCAAGGGUAUUCCAGUUAGUCUUGGGCCGGACAAAGAACACUUGUGUUUUGCUUCUCCAAAAACAAUAUAGCUGAGAUAUGAGAAGCUCAGUAGUGUGAAAGGAUCUGAGGGUAUUGACUGCUGCAGUUUUUGGAAUGACUUGAUCAAAUACCAGCAUUGUGUCACAUUCACCUCCUCUUCCUUUGAUAUGUUGCAAUUUGGCAGCGCUGGUGAUUGUUUUUGAUAUGAGUUAUCCAGCUGCAGUGAUAUUUGGUGCUAUCCUACCAAACAUUGUAUAAGAUGGAAUAACAUUCAUGUAUCACAAUCAGUCAUUGCUGCAACAGUGUCCGGCUUAGGUUUUUAGGUCUGGGCAGAACUGCUACCACCAAAGCAGAGAAAUGAACAGAGAGAUUUACAAGCUCGGAGAGGCAGGAGAGAAGUCUCAUGCAGCUAUUACUUAUUUUUACAGGUUUUCUGAAAACAUGACUGCGCUAAAGGAACAUAGACCAUGAUCAGUCUUGCCUGUGGGGUAUGUAGUUCAGACAGCUCCAGGCAGCAUAACCCCCCAUGGAGGCUCCAAUUAAGUAGAACUUUGGCCCGAUCUCCAGCUGGUCGGCGAGCUCCUGAAUGUCCAUGGCUUCGCUCUUCACCGUCCGCCUUGGGUUCGGGUCACUCUCCCCAUACCCUGCUCUGUCAUACGACAGAAAGUAUAUCCCCAACUCAUCCACCAGUUCCUGAAACCACAAGCCAUGAACUUGAUCAGGCCUCGGUCCUGGUCCUAGACGCCAAGUCCAAAAUUAACUUCUGCUGUAAGACUACAAGUCUUACUCCAUGUAACCUGGGAUGCAGGUAGAGUGAAAUCUUUAGAACCAUCCAAGCCGUGGACGACGAUGAUUUUGUAGUUGGCCUUCUCCUUGGUGCUUCCCACCUCUUUGUAUGCCAGAUGCCUGCCGUCUCUGAGUUGAAUUCUGGGAGAGGUGAUCGGAGGGCCGCCUGGAGAGCCGCAAAUUUUUGGACGGGGAGGCUGGAUUGCCUGGAAGGCCCAGCCUGCUACUACUAUUAGCAGGACUGCUGCUGCUCUCAUAAGCAUUGCUGCUAAGAUGAAUUCCCAUAGUCAAUAAAUUAUUUUCAUCUCAGUGGAAAAAAUAAUAAUCAACAAACAAAUAUCCCCAUAUUCAUGUGGUAUUACUAUUAGAAUCUUGCUUUCAGGGUAUGGAACUGAAAGGCAGAGACCAUGCACCUGAGGAGCUUGCUUCUCCGGAGUCCGGACCUUGGGCGGCUAUCUGGAUGGGUCAAAUAUGGAGUGCUGGACACCUGUUCCAGACCUUAUUGGCUGCAAUUUUCUCACGAUGUGCUGAGUGGAGCUAGCAUUCCUGGACGCAUGUGGUCAGUGAAUGGAAAUUGUUAAUGAAGGCUCGCUUUGAACAGGAUAUAAAUACUAAACUACAAAGCUCAUGACGUGCCGAAGCUAAUGAAUCUUCUCAAAAAAAGAAAAAGAAAGUUCAGUUCUGCAACUUGGCAAUUCCUAUAAGACGGCGGGUACCUUUUGAUUGUUUUUUCCUUUUUCCUUUUUUUCCCCCCAACGAGGGACUAGCCUCUGCCUGCUACCUGCCGCUACCUCGUCCCACCAUCUCGCUCUUAUUGUUUGUCAUGGCGUUGUAAGAUCAUUCUUCUGAAUAGGUAUUGUAGCUUCUUGUUUAGCCGACAAGCCUUGCAGCUUCUUUCUAAUGCGGAUGCAAAAGCUACUGUCCUAUCCCCCCCUUUUUUUUGUUCAAUUCUUUAAUCUUAUUGCAGUUCUCGUCCAGGUAUAACGACAUGCAGAUAAACCAAUGCUAGGAAAAAAGGUCGUUAACAUGGUCAGACUUCAAAUUGUCUUCAAUGAACCUAUUCCAUGAGUGAGCACGACUUUGGAGAGGCUCCAGGCUACAUGUUGGUGUGCAAGUAAUCAUCAGCUGUGAGAAACAAGCGUUCUCCGAAAAACUGUUCUACGGCAGCCCAAGGCAAAGGGGGAGACUCUGUAUACCAAACUACGUAAAGCUGGGUCGGAGGUUGAAGAAGAACCUGAGGCGCGCACACCAUAUCAUUAAUCAAUAUAAAGCAACCUGAGCCCUAAUUCAUACCAGGCCGGCCCAAGAAUAUCUAUCCACCUUGGACCUGCAAUCCUGAACCAGCUUCAGGGCCGCACCAUGCCAUCUUAACCAUGGGCCGAGUGUGGGCCUGGGCCAGGAAAAGGAAUUGCCUCGUCAACGAUCACAAGAUCAGUCCUUAAAAAUUUUUUGGGGUCCAAAACGGCGUUUGCUUCGACCUUGCCAUCUAGAUCACAUCCAUCAAACAGUAUACUUCUGACCAGAAAGUCCUAAGAGAAACACGGUAAUCAAAACCCAGCAUAGUAAAUACGCAUUGGUUUACCGGUGCACCUUUACGCAAUUAGGUGAGAGGUUUUGAGUCUCUCAACACACACACACACACACAGAGACGGAUGCAAUUAGACACCAAAAAUAUAUGCUACCCUCAAUAUUCAACUGAAGUUAUAAAACCGGGGCCGGUCCUUGAAUUGCUAGGAGCGAAAUUGGAACUUAAAAAGCCACUCCUCCCUCUGUGAAUCAGAUCUUAUCUCCCCUCCCACAAGCGGGAUUAAAAUGCAGAGUACAAGAUAAGGUCUUGAACAGAGUCGGUUACAACUGAACAAAAACUUCUGAACCUCUUAUUAUCUGCUGUAAAAGAAAAACAAA